rnacentral:tRNA from 1 species
GGACGUUUAGCUCAGCUGGUUCAGAGCACUACUUUGACAGAGUAGGGGUCACUGGUUCGAAUCCAGUAACGUCCA